UUCCGGUUGAUCCUGCCGGACCCGACUGCUAUCGGAUUGAGAUUUAGCCAUGCGAGUCGAACGUCCCCCUGUUGCGGGGGGCGUGGCGUACGGCUCAGUAACACGUAGUCAACCUGCCCUGGAGACAAGGACAACCCCGGGAAACUGGGAUUAAUCCUUGAUAGGUCAUCCCAUCUGGAAGGAGAGAUGGCUUAAAGGGGUACGCGGGCUUCUUCUGCGUAUUCGCUCCAGGAUGGGACUGCGUCCGAUCAGGCUGUUGGCGGGGUAAUGGCCCACCAAACCUGUAACCGGUACGGGCCUUGAGAGAGGUGGCCCGGAGAUGGACACUGAGAGAAGGGUCCAGGUCCUACGGGGCGCAGCAGGCGCGAAACCUUCGCAAUGCGCGAAAGCGUGACGAGGUUAAUCCGAGUGACUCCCGCUGAGGGGGUCUUUUGUCAGCUGUAAAUAGGCAGGCGAAUAAGGGGAGGGCAAGCCUGGUGUCAGCCGCCGCGGUAAUACCAGCUCCUCGAGUGGUCGGGCGAUUAUUGGGCCUAAAGCAUCCGUAGCCGGUUCCGUAGGUCCUCUGUUAAAUCCAACCGCUCAACGGUUGACCUGCAGAGGAUACCGCGGGACUAGGAGGCGGGAGAGGCGGACGGUAUUCCGCGUGUAGGGGUAAAAUCCUUUGAUCCGCGGAGGACCACCAGUGGCGAAAGCGGUCCGCCAGAACGCGCUCGACGGUGAGGGAUGAAAGCUGGGGGAGCGAACCGGAUUAGAUACCCGGGUAGUCCCAGCCGUAAACGAUGCUAGCUAGAUGAUUCAUUCGCAAGUCGCGAAUGAAGUGUCGCA
rnacentral:rRNA from 1 species